AUUGAACGCUGGCGGCAGGCCUAACACAUGCAAGUCGAGCGAGCGGCGGACGGGUGAGUAAUGUCUGGGGAACUGCCUGAUGGAGGGGGAUAACUACUGGAAACGGUAGCUAAUACCGCAUACCAUCAGAUGUGCCCAGAUGGGAUUAGCUAGUAGGUGGGGUAAUGGCUAACCUAGGCGACGAUCCCUAGCUGGUCUGAGAGGAUGACCAGCCACACUGGAACUGAGACACGGCCCAGACGCCUACGGGAGGCAGCAGUGGGGAAUAUUGCACAAUGGGCGCAAGCCUGAUGCAGCCAUGCCGAGUGUGUGAAGAAGGCCUUAGGGUUGUAAAGCACUUUCAGCGGGGAGGCGUUACCCGCAGAAGAAGCACCGGCUAACUCCGUGCCAGCAGCCGCGGUAAUAG
rnacentral:rRNA from 1 species